UAAUAUCUCACCAUCCUCUGCAUGCAAACACAUUUCACCAUGAGUAACCGAUUGACCCACUUGCUCUUUACGGUUGCUAAUGUUUGCUAAUGUUUCAAGAACAAAAGCUCAUUCAGGCUCAAACUAUGAAUCCCUAUAGGACGCCUACAGAGUAUAAAGGCCUCCAGGAAAGACCUCGUUUCCAUGUGUUACAGUGAAGAUGGGUGUAAUGACAUGCUGCGGUCAGUGCUAUAGGAGGUCUGAGGUCUACAUUAGUGGAAAAGUGGAAGGGGGCGGACAGAAGGAAAACCACCCACAGCUGCAGGCCAAAGGGGUCACCUUUGAUGAUGCCUCUGAAGGGCAGAUGUCAUGAAAACUUCACAACUGGAAUCAAGAUUCGAUUCUUCAUGUAGAAAAUAUGCUUUGACAGACGUCCUCAGUUGUCUCUAUAUGUAGUUGUACACCUGCUUCAGCUCGCCUGUCACUGAAUGCACAGCUGCUUUAAGAGAGACUCACGGUUUUGAUCUGAGAGAGACCACACCCCUGUACCUCCUACAAAUUCCUGCCCAUCUCACCCACCCGUCAACAGCCCUGGGAGCCCGGCCAGACUUUUGAUCUUUCCGUGAUUGAGGAUUGGAUUUGAGUGGUUUAGUCUGAUCUCAGAUCAGCCCCUGCGGGAGACCCCAUGCAGACCCCAGUUCUGGUUGCCAGGGUGAUGUAGAAGACUCCCAAGUCUGUGCAGGACUUAAGGAGCGGCUUUCAGGGGGUUUUGCAGAGAAAGCAAAGAACAGAGACCUCUUUUUGCUUCACAUGGUGGUUAUUGAUGGACUGGAGUGGUGUGGAUUACUUGUGGAUUAUUGUGAUGUUUUUAUCAGCUGUUUGGACUCUCAUUCUGACGGCACCCAUUCACUGCAGAGGAUCCAUUGGUGAGCAAGUGAUGUAAUCCUACAUUUCUCCAAAUCUGUUCUGAUUAAGAAACAAACUCAUCUACACCUUGGAUGGCCUAAGAUUGAGUAGAUCUUCGGCAAAUUUGAAUUUCUGGUUGAACUAUUCCUUUAAAGUCACAUACUUUCACUGAUGUUUCCUGUGUUAGUGAAAGGGAUGAGUACACAUAUUUU